rnacentral:lncRNA from 1 species
UGUGAAAUUUUUAAGGGAAAGAUAAUUAGGAGGAAUAAAAUGUAGAGAUAGUAAGCUACAGAUUAAAAACAGUGAACUGUAAUUGCGAGACCAACAUAGCCCUGUGAUAAGUAAGGUUUCUAGUAAGACCAUGAAGGUUAUGUUUCAACUCUUACGGCUUACCAAGUUACUCUGCUCGGGUAGAGACUCCGAUUGGUAGUAUAGUAAAUGUAUCAGUGAUCCACUACUUCUCAUGUCACAGUGCAAGAUGGUUUUACGUGUACAGGUAACACUGUAAAAACGAAAGUCAAGAGUUAGACAAGGAGAUUAAGAUUCAUUAUACCUUCACAAUCAGAUGGCAAUCCAUGGGACCUGUAACAGCUCUUAUACCCUAAAGUUUAAUCAGGUUAGUUAGGCACCAACAAAGAAAAACAAGUAGGCUGUUGUGCCAAUCAAACAGGUAAUCAUACAUCAAGAAUUGAGUCAACAUUUGAAGGGGCAGAAACAUCAGUACAGAUAGCUGCAAUCAGCAUCCAUUUUCCCAAACAAAUCCAGCACCGGCAGGUUCAUGGCCAUUUUCACCACCUAAAUUAGAAAAUUUUCAAGACGCAAUGUUAAACUGGACUUGGGUUAGAACCAGAUUCCGAGGUUAUGUGCCAAAUUUGGGUUAGAGAUUCCUGAGCUACUGUUUAGUCACGCAUAUUCCUGAAUAAUUAUUCAUAAGAACUAAUGGACUCCUUAAAAGCUUAUUUAGUUAUAAGUGGAAUCACUAGCAGAAACUUCACUCAGGUGAGGCGAGAAAGGAAUGCACAAAGGGGCACUGGGCAACUCAUGAAAUGCAAUUUCUAAUUUUGCCAUUACACAAAUUAGAAUAAUAUGUGAAGCUCCAUGAGAAUAUUAAUUUAGCGAUACUCCUGUUCUAGAAUUGAAAUAGAGGCAUCAGGUAUAAUCCAAGUUUGCCUGAUAUGACUGCAACUUUGUUCAAAUUUCCAUCUGAAAUAUCAAAUAUCAUCCCACAACCUUAACAUGUCUUAGGGCAUACAGGAGAAAAUGUUACAGUGGAUUUCAGAAAACUAUCAUCUUAGUAAGGCAACAGGAUAAAUAAAAACAGCGAACAAAUUGACAACCUAAAACAAAUAAUAUAAGUGCUUCCUCUGUAAUAGAUUAAGUUUUUAUCACACAAUUCAACACGACAUGUCGACAUUGAUAUCAAGAUAGGCAGACAUCCUAAGUCCAACUCUCAAACCCAUCAACAGAAAUGUUUCCACAUGAUUGAUUCAAGAAAAAUAAUUAAACCACACAUGUGAGAGGAUGUGUUUACAACCUAAAAUAAAUAAACGUCCCUUCUUUUUAAUAGUUAAACUUUGAAAUGAGAGGAUCACACAAUUCAUCAAACGAAAUCACUAAAAAUGGAUCACCUCAGGAAAACGAGCUGGAUAUGGCAAACCGCGGCAAAACUUGGCAGAACUCUGACUGUCACAACAUCUGCAAUCACUUCACUUUAAUAACUAUAGCAUAUGAAAUUUUAUUUAAAAACUGCAUUGCAUGACAUAAGCUUCACAAAUACCUACAUAAAUUUAUGCACAAUACAAUAAAUUACAAAGGCACUAAUCUUAUAAAUGCUAUGAGGAAGCAUAUAGAUAUUCCUUAGUUGGCCAACAUUUGAAAUUGUUUCCGAGUUAGAACAUUUCAUUAUCUUCCGGUUUCUAAAUGCUCCUAAGGUUUUGCACCACAUAGAAAAGGAGUCGUUCUAGUAAAUUACCUAAAAGUACUUUUACUAUAUGCACAGUCUGUUCUUCACUCUCCGGUGCCGGCGAUGAAAACAAUAAUGUCAGAUUUUUCUCUUCUUUACCUUUUAUUUACGGCAUACUCAAACGAGUCAAUCAUCCAAGGAGAAAGGCGAUGCAUGCAAAAAUUAGGAUAUCUUAGCUCGAAUUCGAACGAAAUAGAGUUAGCUAACGAAAAUGGAGGGCAAGAGAGGAAGGGAUUAUUCAGGGUUA